rnacentral:rRNA from 1 species
GUGGGGAAUCUUGCACAAUGCGCGAAAGCGUGAUGCAGCAACGCCGCGUGGGGGAAGAAGGCCUUCGGGUUGUAAACCCCUUUCAGUUGGGACGAAGCUUCGGCGGUGAAUAGCCGCCUGGAGUGACGGUACCUUCACAAGAAGCCCCGGCUAACUACGUGCCAGCAGCCGCGGUAAUACGUAGGGGGCUAGCGUUGUCCGGAAUCAUUGGGCGUAAAGAGCGUGUAGGCGGCCCGGUAAGUCCGCUGUGAAAGUCGGGGGCUCAACCCUCGAAUGCCGGUGGAUACUGUCGGGCUAGAGUGCGGAAGAGGCGAGUGGAAUUCCUGGUGUAGCGGUGAAAUGCGCAGAUAUCAGGAGGAACACCAAUUGCGAAGGCAGCUCGCUGGGACGUUACUGACGCUGAGACGCGAAAGCGUGGGGAGCAAACAGGAUUAGAAACCCUAGUAGUCC